rnacentral:rRNA from 1 species
AUGGCUCAGGAUGAACGCUGGCGGCGUGCUUAACACAUGCAAGUCGAACGGAGUUGUUCACCGAAUGAACUGGAGAGCUUGCUCAAAGGGGAAUCACCGAGACAACUUAGUGGCGGACGGGUGAGUAACGCGUGGGUAACCUACCCUUAUCAGGGGGAUAACAGUCGGAAACGACUGCUAAUACCGCAUAAGCGCACAGUAUCGCAUGAUACAGUGUGAAAAACUCCGGUGGAUAAGGAUGGACCCGCGUCUGAUUAGCUAGUUGGUGAGGUAACGGCCCACCAAGGCGACGAUCAGUAGCCGGCCUUAACGGGUGAACGGCCACAUUGGGACUGAGACACGGCCCAAACUCCUACGGGAGGCAGCAGUGGGGAAUAUUGCACAAUGGGGGAAACCCUGAUGCAAGCGACGCCGCGUGAAGGAAGAAGUAUUUCGGUAUGUAAACUUCUAUCAGCAGGGAAGAUAGUGACGGUACCUGACUAAGAAGCUCCGGCUAAAUACGUGCCAGCAGCGGC